rnacentral:rRNA from 1 species
AUGGCCGCCCCCCUGCAUCGACUCCCCACACCUCCCCGCCCUCAAGUGGCUCCUGCCCUCCACUACCUGGAUCCGCGUCGCCCCAUCCGCAUCCCCACCCACCUGCUGCCGCCAUCCACUCUCGCCGCCCCCGUCCACCACCUCGUACCACGCCGCCGACCACCAUCCACUCUCGCGUGCACACGACCUCCUCGCUCUUCGCGACUGCUCCACGUAUGCCGCCUGAUUCCGUCGAGCCCCGGCGUCUCCCGCCACCGCGCAGCACCGCGCCGAGCUUGCCUCGUCCCGCUGCGUCCUCUACUCCGGCUGGAUCUGCCAUGUCCGCUGAGGAGCGGGUGGGGAAGCACCAACCAAGGCCAUGUCAUGGAGGUUCUGCUCAGGCAACCCUGCACUGCUUGCAGCCAACGCCGUGGAGGUAUCCAAACCUCAGAGGACUACAUGUUCUAUGCCAUCUCGGCGGAGUACCCUGAGUUCAGCAACAAGGAGAAGACACUCAUGCUGCAGUUCACGGUGAAUCAUGAGCAAAAGCUUGUCUGUGGUGGUGGUUACAUCAAGUUGCUCAGAGAUGUUUUGCAUCAGCCUGUCAUUGCUAAGGAAGAAGCAGUACUUGAAGAAGCAGACUACAUGUUUUCUUGCUGUGAAGCACUAGAUAGUUCUAUUUAUUCUUUCAUGUUCUAG